AAAAGGAAAAAAAAAGAAUUUUUAAUAGUGCUGAAUUGACUAUUUUUGUUCAUUUUACAGUAUCAUGCUUCUCUGACAUGUUUACUUUACAAAUGCUUCAGCUCAUGGCCAUGACUUAUUUUGAAUGGUAAAGUAUAUAAUUAAUGUCAAGGUGAAAGGCGAUUAUGCUUGUGAACACUCCUCUAUGCCCUCCAGAAACCACUUAUGAAGCCAAUUUAGGUCACACAUGGUUCAGUCUCUCGGAAAUCUUUCUUAGUAAAGCCCCGAGGCACUCUCUUUUACUGAGCAAUUAACAGAAAGCCAGCUCCUUGUGCUAUUGUGGGGAAAUGAUAAUUUGUGGAGAAGGGGGAAGGACUGUCUAAGACACACAAAUGUUUCUUCAUAUAGCUCUCUUGAAAGCUGAAAAUGCAAUUUAAAUGGGCAGUUAAGGUAGAGAGCAACAAAGGUCCAAAAUGCCAGAAUGAAAGUGCUUAUUUGUUAAAUACAGUAUUUUGAGGCUUUCCAUCACCUUCUGUUAAAUUUUUCCUGGCUAUUUGAACAGAUGUUUCUGAAGAAACCCCCUCGGCAAGCCACGCUGCAAAGGAAUAGUUCCCAGAUCUUGGCAUAUCUGGAUGUACUGCUGCACCCUGAAACCUCUGUGCAGGAACUUUGGACAUUUCUGGCAUUGGGUAUCAUCUUACUUUACUGUGUGACUAGGGGAAAAAGGAGCAGAAGCUAA
rnacentral:lncRNA from 1 species